rnacentral:snRNA from 1 species
AAGAAAUACACAUUUAUUAGCUA